rnacentral:lncRNA from 1 species
CAAAGCCAUCUGGGUUUUAUUGCUGGGGUUGGGAGUUCUUAACUGCACUUCUGCUUUUUAGUUGGUGAUCGAUUCCCUUAAAAGACCUUCCUAAAAGGAACGGAGGUGAAGAUACUUCUGUUCCCGAUUCCUGUCGAUUUUCAUUUUGCUCCGAAUUUUUUUUUUUUUUUUGCCUAUUUUUUUCUGUGUUUUGGGUGGGCCGUGAGGGUUGGUUGGUGAGGGACAAAUCGGGGAGAAAUGGCACAAAGAUCGGUUCCGGCGCCGUUUCUGACGAAGACGUACCAGUUGGUGGAUGAUCCGAGCACCGACGACGUGAUCUCCUGGAGCGAAAGCGGCAACACCUUCGUGGUUUGGAAAACUGCGGACUUCGCUAAGGAUUUGCUUCCUAAUUACUUCAAGCACAACAAUUUCUCAAGCUUCGUCCGCCAGCUCAAUACAUAUGUACGUCACCUCUCCUCCUCCCUUUGUUCCAUACGUUUCUUUAUUCUAUUUUAGUUUUGAUUGGCCUCCGUUUGGCCGGUGAGAAACCGAGAGGGAAAAAAGAAAAUGAAAAAGGAACGGUAUCCUAUUCGAUCGGUGUGUGCCGUCGGCGGCGGUGCUGCCGCCGUUUCAAUCUUCUACUGCCAUCUCUAUUUGGUAGUCUAUUCAACAGUUUGACCACGAAGGUGUCUAUUAAAUAUUA